UUACACGGACCAGUGUCUUGGAGAGAAGCCCGAUCGCAGUGUCUGCUCUUGUGCCACAAAGUAACGCGCGAAACUGAGCGCGGAAAGAGCGCGGAAAGAGCGCGUGCGCUCGCAUUCGCUGAUUCAAUCGUGCGCGUCCCGCAGCAGCGACUCACCGCGGCCGGAUCCUCCGGGACUUCAGUAAAAGAUGGUUCUUUUUACGGUUCGCUGCCGAUCCAUGCGAUACUGGACGGACCGGACCGACCGUACCGACCGGAGCGGAACCCGGGCGGGAGUCACGGGAGAGGAGUCCCGCCGAAGUGGAUCCAAACGUGGCUCAAGUCCAUCGUGGCACCUCAAGGAAUCCGAUCGUUUGUCCCGUUUCUGACUGUUGGCGACAUUUAUUGAUUUAUUGGUUCAUUUAUUCAGCUUCAAUCUGUUUGCCGGCAGCGCCGCAUCUCAAAUCUUCACCCCGACGAGCGCAGCAUCUUCUCACAUCCAGAGGGAAAGAGAGAGAGAGAGAGAGAGAGAGAGAGAGGGAGGGGGAGAGAGAGAGAGACAGGGGGAGAGGGAGGGAGAGAGGGAGAGAGGGGGAGAGGGAGGGAGAGAGGGAGGGAAAGAGAGAGAGAGAGAGAGAGAGGGAGAGGGGGAGGGAAAGAGAGAGAGAGAGAGGGAGAGGGGGAGAGAAAGAGAUUAGAGAGAGGAAUAAGAGAGACAGGGUGGAGGUGGGGGGGCAGAGAGAAAGAGGAAUGAGAGAGAAACAGGGGUGGGGGGGCUGUAAUGUAAACGAAGGACACUUGCAGUUUAUAAAGGGCCAAAUCUUUAGAGAAACAGUUUACCGAAGAAUAAAUGAAAAAAGAGGACAAGAACAGGUCCACCAGAGCUGCUCAGGAAGUUAAUCUCAACUUAAUGGUCAGAGUGAAAGCAAAGUGUGUGUUGCCCACCGGCUUUGUGACACCACAGUUAAAGACUGAAAAAAGAUCAUACGUGUCAUGGGGGGCUGAGAGAACCGGGACGGCAGGACCCAAGUGCAGAGUCGUUCGUCUGGAUUCAGGGGAUCAGGCAAGUUCUCGGUGUUGGGGACAAGCGGCUGGUCGGUCGAUUGGCGGUUGGGAUCAGAGCGUGGAUCCAUGGGCGAGGUCAGGAGACGAAGCGAAGAGUCGGUCGAUCGACGUUGAAACAAAGAUCCGUGGAAGUUGUCGGGAGAUAAAGCGAACGGACGAAAACCGGAGGACGAGAACUGAGAACAAGGGUUGCGUGUGAACUGGAUGUCACGAAGGAGGGCGGUUGUCUCUGACGAGAUUCCGCAAAAGUAUGGGAGCUGAGGAGGGUCUUUUAAAGGGUGAGCAGUUAGUCAGGUGCUGGACCAGAGUCUGGUGCUGUCAGUUGAGUUGUGGGCGUAGACGUGACAAUACGACCGUACGGGGCCACAGGAUUUUAAGCUCAAAUGGCAGGUGGGAUGUGAACCUGUAAGCAUCUAUAAAAAGCUGAACAUCUGGUUCCCUCACAAAUACUCAGCGCAUUUGCUCAAGAAAACAUAUCAGUUACUAUAAGAAAUGGCCCUUUAGCCUCCUUGGCCUCAAUCUAGUGGUUGUUUUCUUAACACACGAUUAAGUGAGGAUUAUUAGUCCACGGGCAGUGUUUUUAUGUAACGGAAAGAAGUGAAAACAAAAAACAAAUUGCAUUCCUUCUGUCAAAGUAUGUGAAGCGAUGCCCAAAUACUCAGUAACAUGAAAUUAAAAAAAAAGGCUACAGAUGGAUAAACAGGCUUUAAAAAAAACCUAUUUAAUUUUGUAAUGAUUGUGCUCAUUAAAUUUCAUUUUUUAAUGUUAUACACAUCUGUGUGACUAAUACCUGAAUUUCAUUCAUCAUUAAAUGUG
rnacentral:lncRNA from 1 species